UACGAAGGGGGCUAGCGUUGCUCGGAAUUACUGGGCGUAAAGGGAGCGUAGGUGGACAGUUUAGUCAGUGGUGAAAGCCCAGGGCUCAACCUUGGAGUUGCCAUUGAUACUGAUUGUCUUGAGUAUGGGAGAGGUGUGCGGAACUCCGAGUGUAGAGGUGAAAUUCGUAGAUAUUCGGAAGAACACCAGUGGCGAAGGCGGCACACUGGCCCAUUACUGACGCUGAGGCUCGAAAGCGUGGGGAGCAAACAGG
rnacentral:rRNA from 1 species